rnacentral:rRNA from 1 species
AUUAAAACUUUUAAUAACGGAUCUCUUAGCUCUAAUAUUAAUAAAGAACGUAACGAAACGCGAUAUAUAGUAUAAAUUAUAGAAUUUAGUAAAUCAUCGAAUCUUUAAACGCAUAUAGCGCCUUCUAGUAUCCUAGGAGGUAUACCUAUCCGAGCAUCGUUUUAACCCUCGAGCCCUAAUAGCCCGGUAUUAAGGAUCUACGUCUAUAGGCCCUUAAAAGCAAUAGCGGACCCGCGUAGCCCUUCUUUGCAUAAUAGUUAUAGCUCGUAUCGGAGUCCCGUAGGCGCUUACCUCUAAACCCCCUAUAAGCCCGCCUUAUACGGCAACGGUUAACCUCGGAUUAAGUAGGAAUACCCGCUAAACUUAAGUAUAUUAAUAAGCGGAGGAAAAGAAACUAAUAAGGAUUACCUUAAUAAUAGCGAAUAAAGCAAUAAUAGCUUAAAUUUAAAAUCUAGCUCCUUUAAGGUCCGAGUUAUAAUUUAUAGAGGAUACUUCGAGUUAUAGUUCCUUCCGAGUUCCCUAGAACGGGACGCUAUAGAGGGUAAGAGCCCCGUCUAAUAGGAAACUAUACUUAUAUAAAGCUCCCUCGACGAGUCGAGUAAUUUAGGAAUAUUAUUCUAAGGGGAGGUAUACUCCUUCUAAGGCUAAAUACCGGCUAGAGACCGAUAGCGUAUAAAUAGAGUAAUCGAAAGAUAAAAAGUACUUUAAAAAGAGAAUUAAAUAAUACGUAAAAUUAUUAAAAGGGAAGCGCUCGCUACUAGACGUAGGUUUAGUAGUUUAACUAGGUCUAUAACCUAGGGCACUCCGCUGGCCUAGGCCAAUAUUAGCUUUCCGUCGGGGGCAAAGGCGUCGGGAAUAUAGCUCUCCUUUAGGGGAAUAUUAUAGCCUAUCGCGUUAUACCCUUUAAGGGGCUAAGGUACGCGCUCCGUAAGGAUACUAGCGUAAUAAUAGCUAGUAACCCGUCUUAAAAUACGGACUAAGGAGUUAACCUUAUAUACGAGUACCCGGGCGUAAAACCCUAAUACGGAAUAAAAGUAAACGUAAAUAAGAGCUUUAGCAUAUCACCGACCGAUCCUAAUAUCCUUGGACGGAUUUAAGUAAGAGUAUAUAGGGUUAGACUUAAAAGAAGAUAAAUUAUACGUAUAUAAGGUAAAGCUAGAGGAAACUCUAGUAGAGGCUCGUAGCGGUUCUAAUAUAUAAAUCGAUCGUUAAAUAUACGUAUAAGGGCGAAAGACUAAUCGAAUCUUCUAGUAGCUAGUUUCCGCCGAAGUUUCCCUUAGGAUAGUAGUAUUAAUCCUAGUUUUAUAAAAUAAAGCGAAUAAUUAGGGACUUAGGGGCGCUAUUUAGCCUUUAUCUAUUCUUAAACUUUAAAUAUAUAAAAAAUCCUUAUUACUUUAUUAAACGCGGACGCUAGAAUAAAAUAAUACUAAUAGGCUAUUUUUAGUAAGUAGAAUUAGCAAUAUAGGAUAAACCGAACGCGAGGUUAAGGUACUAGAAUAGACGCUUAUUAGAUACUAUAAAAGGUAUUAAUAUAUCUUAAUAGUAGGACGGUAGCUAUAGAAGUCGGAAUCCGCUAAGGACUAUAUAAUAACUUACCUACCGAAUAUACUAGCCCUGAAAAUAGAUAGCGCUUAAGCGUCCUACCUAUACCUCGCCCUUAGCGCGGGCUCGGCGUAUCGAGGAGUAGGCGGACGUAGAGGUCGGUAACGAAGCCUAGGACGUAAGUCUAGGUAGAACGGCCUCUAGUAUAGAUCUUAGUAGUAAUAGUAAAUACUUUAAUAAGAACUUAAAGGACCGAAGUAAGGAAAGGUUCUAUAUAAAUAGCGGUUAGACGUAAAUUAGUUAAUCCUAAGCUAUAGGGAAGUUCUAUUUUAAAGGGGCGCUUUUACCCUAUAUAGCGAAAGGGAAGCUAGUUAAUAUUCUAGUACCUAGAUAUAGGUUUUACGCGGUAACGCAACUAAACGCGGAGACGAUAGCGGGGGCCCCGGGAAGAGUUCUCUUUUCUUCUUAACGAUCUAUUACCUUAGAAUCGGUUUAUCCGGAGAUAGGGUUUAACGGUCGGAAGAGCCUAGCGCUUCUACUAGGUCUAGUACGUCCUCGACGUCCCUUAAAAAUCCGUAAGAGGGAAUAAUUCUCACGCUAGGUCGUACUUAUAACUAUAGUAGGUCUCUAAGGUAAAUAGCCUCUAGUUAAUAGAAUAAUAUAGAUAAGGGAAAUCGGUAAAAUAGAUCCGUAACUUCGGGAAAAGGAUUAGCUCUAAGGAUCGGGCGCGUUAGGCCUUAAAUAGACGGUUCAGUAGCAGGAGGUUACUAGCUAGGCAACUAGCCGGAAGCUCCCUACUACUUAGCUCGACGCUCUUAGCAAGCUUCGGCCGUCUAGCGCGCAUUUAACGAUUAACUUAGAACUAGCGCGGAUAAGGGGAAUCUAACUAUCUAAUUAAAAUAUAGUAUUACGAUAGCUAGAAAGUAGUAUUAACGUAAUAUAAUUUCUACUUAGUGCUCUAAAUAUUAAAGUAAAGUAAUUUAACUAAGCGCGAGUAAACGGCGGGAAUAACUAUAACUCUCUUAAAGUAGCUAAAUACCUCGUUAUCUAAUUAAUAAUAUAUAUAAAUAGAUUAACGAGAUUCCUACUAUCCCUAUCUACUAUCUAGCGAAACUAUAGCUAAGGGAACGGGCUUAGUAGAAUUAGCAAGGAAAGAAGACCCUAUUAAGCUUAACUCUAGUUUAAUAUUAUAAAAAGAUAUAGGAGGUAUAGAAUAAGUAGGAGCUCUAGCGCUAGUAAAAUAUUACUACUCCUAUUAUUUUUUUACUUAUCCGGUAGAACGGGGCUAGACUUACGUCUAACUUCUAGUAUUAAGGUCCUUCGCGGGCCGACCUAGGUCGGAGAUAUUAUUAAAUAGGGAGUUUAACUAGGGCGGCAUAUCUAUUAAACUAUAACGUAAGUAUCCUAAAGGGGGCUUAUAGAGAAUAGAAAUCUCUAAUAGAAUAAAAGGGUAAAAGUCCCUUUAAUUUUGAUUUUUAGUAUAAAUAUAAACUAUAAAAGUAUAGCCUAUUAAUCUUUUAGUCCCUCGGAGUUUAAGGCUAGAGGUACUAGAAAAGUUACUAUAGGGAUAACUAGCUUAUAGCGGCUAAGCGUUUAUAGCGACGUCGCUUUUUAAUCCUUCGAUAUCGGCUCUUCCUAUUAUACUGAAGUAGAAUUCGGUAAGCGUUAGAUUAUUUACCUAUUAAUAGGGAACGUAAGCUAGGUUUAGACCGUUAUAAGAUAGGUUAGUUUUACCCUAUUAAUAAUCUCGUCGUAAUAAUAAUUAAGCUUAGUACGAGAGGAACCGCUUAUUUAGAUAAUUAGUUUUUACGGCUAUCCGACCAGGCAGUACCGCGAAGCUACUAUCUACCGGAUAAUAGCUAAACGCCUCUAAGUUAGAAUCUAUACUAGAAAGCGACGACGCCUCCCGCACGUAUAGAUAGACACGAAUAAGCCUCUAGCUUAGCGUCUUAGUAAGCAAAGAACGCUAAC